rnacentral:rRNA from 1 species
CCCUUAGAUGUUCUGGGCCGCACGCGUGCUACACUGAGUGGAUCAGCGGGUCAGGUUGCGCGAAAGCGUUUCCUAAUCUUUAAAUCCGCUCGUGAUGGGGAUUGACGGUUGCAAUUUUCUGUCAUGAACGAGGAAUACCUUGUAAGCGCGGGUCAUCAUCCCGCGCUGAAUACGUCCCUGCCCUUUGUACACACCGCCCGUCGCACCUACCGAUUGAAUGGUCCGGUGAGGCCUCGGGAUUGUGGCCAGUUUCCUUCAUUGGGAGUUGGCUGCGAGAACUUGUCCAAACCUUAUCAUUUAGAGGAAGGUGAAGUCGUAACA